AGAGUUAAAUAGUAUGUGAAAUCGUUGAAAGGGAAACGAUUGAAGUCAGUCAUGCUUGCAGGGAAUCAACAAAGUGGUUUUCUUCCUUGUGCACUUCCUUGCUUAGCAGGUUAGCAUCAAUUUGAUUGUCAUUAAAGACCGGGGGAAUAUGGCUUCUUCGGGAGUGUUAUUGACCUUGGUAGAUGUGGCGAUCGGGAUUGAGGAUUGCAGCGAAUGCUUCUUGGCUAGUCAUCUGGCUUCUGACGGUCACCUUGCUUUCGAUAGCUUGCUAAUGUUGGUGAGAUUUGGUUGUAUAGAUGUUAGAGUGAUCAUAAAUUCGCUAAGGAUGCUGACGUAAUGGCUUUAAACGA
rnacentral:misc_RNA from 1 species